UCGCACACUCGGCUGCAUUUGCUGUUCCACACUCGCCAUGUGCGUCUUUUCCGCCCCCUGACGCCGUCCACGGCGCUAUCCCGGGGCCGACAUCCCGGACCCUGACCCCUCCCCAGUGU
rnacentral:misc_RNA from 1 species